UACAGAGGUCCCGAGCGUUGUUCGGAUUCAUUGGGCGUAAAGGGUGCGUAGGCGGCGGGGCAAGUCUGAUGUGAAAUCCCGGGGCUCAACCCCGGAACUGCAUUGGAUACUGCCUUGCUCGAGUACUGGAGAGGGAACUGGAAUUUACGGUGUAGCAGUGAAAUGCGUAGAUAUCGUGAGGAACACCAGAGGCGAAGGCGGUUACCUGGACAGUUACUGACGCUCAGGCACGAAAGCAUGGGGAGCAAAAGGG
rnacentral:rRNA from 1 species